UUCUUCUUUUUUUUUCAGGAAUCCGCUCUAAACAAUAAAGAGAAGAUCUGACGGCAGAAAAGUGGGUCCGACCCUGGGGAUGGCCGAGCCACCGUCCGAUUCCCCGAGUCAGCUGACGGCCGUCAUCGGUCUCCUCGAAUAGAUCGAUCUCGGCCCGACACGGCGUCGCCACCCGCCGGACGCCGCCGCGCUCGUCGCCGGACUGUCCCAGUGCAUCGGUGCCGUCGAUUACGAGCUCAGCCUCCCCUCGCCUGAAACUCUAACUCAAGACAACAUCAGGCAAUCUCUCUCUCUCUCUCUCUCUCUCUCUAUCGUGGGCGUAUUGCUUCUUGCUUUUCCAGUUUGAUUUACAGCUCCCUCUGUCGACAUUCAUGGCGAGAGAUGGAAGAAAGGACGUUUCUUUGUUUGAUCCGUGCGUUCGUUUAGUGGGUUGAUCAUUGAUGGCAGUGACGCUACAUGGGUUGGUGAACCCUCUUGAGUUUCACGUCAUAUCACUGCUCAGAAUGAAGUUUCUUUGUUUGCGCCCUGUGUUCUGAGGUUGUUUGAUUGUUAGAGAGCAUGCAUUCCUUUCUUUGAUAUGAGUUGUGAGGAAAGCUCGAGUCUUGACCAAUGGCUGCUUGGGGUAUUUUGCCAAAAAUCCUGUCUUUCUUGCUCAAGUAAAUUAGUUUCUUUUCAGGGAGUCGCCUCGAUGUAGUUUAUGUUGCCCUCCGUUUACAAUUAUGUCACAGGGUAAAUGGGUAUUCAGAUUGAACUUUUUCCAAUUGCAUUUAUGGCUUCUGUUAUGGUGUCGAAGAAGCUUUAAAAUUGUUAAACUGCCCGCACCCUCUGCAACCUUCGGACAUUCACAGUCUCAAAGUCGAAAGCGUGUAUCCUGUUGCACGGUGGCUUGUCAAUCAUGUUCGGACCCGUGUUGGAGUUACAGGGGAUGAGGUGAGUUUGGCUAAUUGGUGCGGUGCCAUGGUUCUGAACUAGUUUUGCGUCUUUACAUACUAAUGUGGUUUCUUUUCUGUUGUAAAUUGAAUCACUCUUGCUACUAAGAUCAUGCCAUCUUUGCUCUAGAGACACCCGUAAUUCUCACACAGGACUUUUUGCUAAAGAUCAGGAAAAUACUCUUUGGCAGCUUGAUGGGUGGAUUAGGUGCUGCAAGAACUACUUUUGCGUCUAGAUACAGCGAUCCAGAGGAAAAGCUGAUGAGAAUGUGUAUUUUAGAAGAGAUGCAACUCUUACACGAGAAAAUCAGGGCAGCAAAAGUCGAUUCUGUGGUUCACCGAUUAAUGUUGCUCAUGAAGUCACUGAAGGCCUUGGAAAAGAAAGAAUUGGAUUGCCAAUAUGAUCACACUGCAAAGAAAUCAGAUUUGGAAGCCAAGAUUAUUCACUUGGAGGAGAAAAUAUCCAACAACUGUGAUAGCAAGAGUCUCCAUGAUGAUUUAGACCAUUGUAUUAGCAUAUCACUGGAAAAGUUGCACCUUGCGAAGAAGGACCUAGCAGCUAGACUGAGGAUGGUAUUGUCUGUAAAGCAGCAACUUGGAGAUGUGCCUUCCCAAUCGGAACUUAUUCAGAAAUUCAUAGACAAACACGUAAAUACUAUGCAACAUAUAAUGCACUUUUGGAGCUUAAAGAGCUAAUGCUGAAGGAAACAUCAUUAUUGAAUUCGCUAAAUUCCCAGUUUCAAGAGGCCAUAAGUGAUACUGCUGGUCGCCUGAAACUUAUUGAUUCCAUGGAAGGAAUUCUGAAGGGCAUAAAACAGAAGCUACAGAAAGUGCAAGAGGGGAUCCAGGCUGAUCAGAGAGUCUGCAAUACACUCAGGGAGAAGUAUGCGGCAGCAGCAGCUAGUCAGAGACGCGGUUCUAGUCUGUUAAGAGCUCUUCAGGAGGAAAUCGAGAGAAACCAGAGACUUAAGAGUGAACUUCGGUCCAGAAAUGCUGCUACACCAUGUGAAGUCGAGGUGAUAGGAAGUUUGUGAAGUUGUGGAACUAAUAUGAGGGUGCAGCUUUGGUCAAGAUGAUUCACGUGACCUGUGUACCACAUGCCUGCGUACGAAACUAGUAGUCUAUGCAAUGCAGGAUUGAGGCUACGUGCAUCUGGUCAUCCUGAGAAUCUUCAAUGUGGGGGCAUCAUGGAUUGAGGGUCCCACUUAGCAUGUUCAGGUAAAUGAUUGCAGAUUAUGUGGAGCGACAUAAGUCUUUAGUUACUUUUGAUGUUAGGUCAAGGCCUUAAAUUGUCGUGUAUGGUUUUCAAAGCCAGCACAAAAGCCAAUUAUCGGGUUCUGAAUGAUGUAAAAUUAUCUGGAUACAACCUUUCUUACCUUUGAUAAUUAUAACAUGAUUAUUUUAGGACAUUUUU